CUAACUCCUCUUACUUUUCCCAUGCUUAUAUCACAUUUAAGCAGUGUUGUUAAAGGUGCAAAAAGGCAUCAGGCGAGGUGAGAUGACGCUGCCUCGCCUUGAUUGACAGAGGCGAGCGCCUCUCUCGCCCAGGCGCCGAGGCGAGAGAGGUUGCGCCUCUUUCAUUUUAAGCUCAAAUUUGCUUUUUUCUUUAGUGUUUCCUCUGCUCCAGCGCCAGCUCCAGCCAUGACAUCUCACUAUCUCGGGUAAGUUUUCUAUGUUCUUUUACUCCAAUUCCAGCUAUGAAAUCUCUACUUCUUGAGUCAGCUCCAUUACUGCCAAGCAUCCAGGUACUUAUUUUUUGCUUUUCAUCCUUCUAUCUUCUCCUUCUCCCACCGAUUUGGUUUUAUUUAUUUAUUUAUUUUUAAAUACUNNNNNNNNNNNNCUUGAAUUCAUGGUGUCAUGCUGUUAUGCUGCCCAAUUUUUUUUGUUUAUCAACACUCUGC
rnacentral:misc_RNA from 1 species